UCGAACGAACUCUGGUAUUGAUUGGUGCUUGCAUCAUGAUUUACAUUUGAGUGAGUGGCGAACUGGUGAGUAACACGUGGGAAACCUGCCCAGAAGCGGGGGAUAACACCUGGAAACAGAUGCUAAUACCGCAUAACAACUUGGACCGCAUGGUCCGAGUUUGAAAGAUGGCUUCGGCUAUCACUUUUGGAUGGUCCCGCGGCGUAUUAGCUAGAUGGUGGGGUAACGGCUCACCAUGGCAAUGAUACGUAGCCGACCUGAGAGGGUAAUCGGCCACAUUGGGACUGAGACACGGCCCAAACUCCUACGGGAGGCAGCAGUAGGGAAUCUUCCACAAUGGACGAAAGUCUGAUGGAGCAACGCCGCGUGAGUGAAGAAGGGUUUCGGCUCGUAAAACUCUGUUGUUAAAGAAGAACAUAUCUGAGAGUAACUGUUCAGGUAUUGACGGUAUUUAACCAGAAAGCCACGGCUAACUACGUGCCAGCAGCCGCGGUAAUACGUAGGUGGCAAGCGUUGUCCGGAUUUAUUGGGCGUAAAGCGAGCGCAGGCGGUUUUUUAAGUCUGAUGUGAAAGCCUUCGGCUCAACCGAAGAAGUGCAUCGGAAACUGGGAAACUUGAGUGCAGAAGAGGACAGUGGAACUCCAUGUGUAGCGGUGAAAUGCGUAGAUAUAUGGAAGAACACCAGUGGCGAAGGCGGCUGUCUGGUCUGUAACUGACGCUGAGGCUCGAAAGUAUGGGUAGCAAACAGGAUUAGAUACCCUGGUAGUCCAUACCGUAAACGAUGAAUGCUAAGUGUUGGAGGGUUUCCGCCCUUCAGUGCUGCAGCUAACGCAUUAAGCAUUCCGCCUGGGGAGUACGGCCGCAAGGCUGAAACUCAAAGGAAUUGACGGGGGCCCGCACAAGCGGUGGAGCAUGUGGUUUAAUUCGAAGCUACGCGAAGAACCUUACCAGGUCUUGACAUACUAUGCAAAUCUAAGAGAUUAGACGUUCCCUUCGGGGACAUGGAUACAGGUGGUGCAUGGUUGUCGUCAGCUCGUGUCGUGAGAUGUUGGGUUAAGUCCCGCAACGAGCGCAACCCUUAUUAUCAGUUGCCAGCAUUAAGUUGGGCACUCUGGUGAGACUGCCGGUGACAAACCGGAGGAAGGUGGGGAUGACGUCAAAUCAUCAUGCCCCUUAUGACCUGGGCUACACACGUGCUACAAUGGAUGGUACAACGAGUUGCGAACUCGCGAGAGUAAGCUAAUCUCUUAAAGCCAUUCUCAGUUCGGAUUGUAGGCUGCAACUCGCCUACAUGAAGUCGGAAUCGCUAGUA
rnacentral:rRNA from 2 species